rnacentral:tRNA from 1 species
GCCUUUGUGGUGUAGUGGUCAGCACACUCGGCGUGUAAACGAGAGGUCGCUGGUUGGAUUCCCGGUAAGGGCA